AUGAAUUAUGAGUUUAAUAGAUCCUGUUUAGCAGAAAGACGUAUAUUCCUUGCUCAUUAUUAGACAAUCACUUAUUCCCAAACCUCGUGUGGGACUAAUCGUUUUCAUUUACCAUCUCAUGGAAAACCCUUUUCGUUUAUACGGAGGACAGGGGCAUCCCAUAGACACAACAAUUGA
rnacentral:rRNA from 1 species